AUGGUGAUGCAACGAUAUGCAUUACUAACAAUGGACCUGCUGUCCCCUCUCAAAACUCUUCACUUCAGCCGAAACAAUAUAGCUAAAGUUGGACUGGAAACCGGAAAGAUCCAGACUGUUGAUUGGGAAACCCGGAAGGAUCCAGACUCAUCCACCGUGACAGAAGAGGAGGAUCCAGACUCAUCCACCGUGACAGAAGAGGAGGAUCCAGACUCAUCCACCAUGGCAGAAGAGGAGGAUCCAGACUCAUCCACCAUGGCAGAAGAGUUCUGA
rnacentral:lncRNA from 1 species